rnacentral:lncRNA from 1 species
AACCCUAAGAGACCCCAUCAAAUUUUCUUCUUGAACAAGGACAAGAGCUAACCAUGGAGAACCUGGACUAACCUAACAACAGCAGCCUAGCCGUCCCCUCUUCUUCUUCAACCUCUUGAACAACCAAAGAACUCGGACAAACAAACCCAAAAAUACCUAAGAGAAGACUCUAGCAGCCACCCUCACACUCACAACGCCGCCAGCCACCCUCCCAACACCCAAAGACACCACCCUUCAGCAACCUAGAACAGCAGCGGCCAAACAGACCCAUCAUUAACCACAGCCGCUGUCAGACCCGCCGGAAACACAAGAGCAGCGGCGCCUCAUCUUUUCACAUCUCCACAAGCCGCCAUCGCUGACUCUCACACCCAUAUCUUAUUCUCGCUUGAUACACACGCAAAGACAAGAGGAAACGGCACACCCAAUUCAAAAGACCAGCCGCCCGAUGACCCCCAUGUCGAUUUGGAUUAAGAAAAUGGCUCUGUGAAUGAAAUUUUUUCUUUGAUUCCUUAUGUCUUUUCAUUUCGUAUUCGGAUUUUUGGCUGCCGUUGAGGCCCGUUGUGGUUCGGUUCGCGUUUCUGCUUGAAGUUUGAUUGUCGUGUCUAGUCUCGGUCGUGACUGCCCCUUUGCUUCUGUCCGUGAAUUGCUGAAAUUAUACUAAUUGAAAGUAUUAUUUUCAGGUCUGAUCCUUUCCCUCUACUUUUGUGUUGAUUUGAGUAUGAUGGGAGCUUGGGAUACAAAAUAGAAAUUGAUUCGAAUUUUAGCUCAUAUAUUGGCGUGCUCCGUUAUCUUCACUUGUCAUUAUGAGUUAAUAUAAAACAUCAGUCCAAUAUUAUUUUCAUACCAUGAGAAUUACUGCUAAUACAAUUAAUUUGAUAGUAUAGUUAUUAUAAAAAGUUGACUUAUAAUAUUC